GACAAACUGCACCACUUCUCCUCGUGGGAAGCUCUUAAAACCUUUUCAUGCUGCUUUAAGGAGUGGGAUGGAAUUCCCAGAGUAGCUGUGGCUGCCCCUGGAUCCCUGGCAGUGCCCAAGGCCAGGCUGGACAGGGCUGGGAGCAGCCUGGGGCAGUGGGAGGGGUUCCUGCCAUGGCAGGGGUGGCACUGGAUAACCACCCCAUAAGGUCCCUCCCAACCCAAACCAUUCUGGGAUUCUGUGACUACCAGCAGAAAUUUCUCUUUCUGCAAUCUCAGUUCAGAACCCUGCAAAUGUCCUGGAAUUUCUGAAAAUCUAUUUCCAGAAUGCUGAAAGUAAACUGAAUUUUCAGAGCUAAGAACUCCAUCAAGACACCUCAGUGCUCUCACCCCACCCCUUUCCCAGGGUCACUUCUCUGACAGGACCCCCAGGGCUCCUCAAGGCUCUUCCCAAGGCCGAACUUGGACUUCAUCUGCAUUAAAAAGAGCUGGAAGGCUUUGGAACCCCCGCUGCUGCCUGAUCACCUCAUUCACAUGCAGAUCCACAUCCCCGGAAUUGCCAGGACAGCUUCCCCUGUUGGGCUCUGGACCAGCCUCACAUGGAACAAAUGAAGCAAAUACCUGAGAGGAGUGAGGGAUUCGUCUUUCCAAACCAGCUGUGGUGGAUAAAACCAGCACCGAGAGGCUGGCAUCUGCACCAUCCCAGCAAAGGAAGAAGCACUGCUGCUGCCUGGGGAAUUUCCUCUUGGAGCCUCUGCCUUGAACUCUCACUCCCUGUCCCUGUGGACACACAACAAAUUCGGGAGGGAAUGGCAAAGGGAGCAGCUCAGCUCCAGGGACAGCUUCGUGGAGACCAGAAACAGACAUUGUUUCAAAAAUAGGAUGAUCCAUUUUUGACAUGAAAAAGUCUCCCUGCUCCAUCUUGGCUUGUGCAUAAAAUUAUCUUGGGUGUUUUUUUUUUUUCACUCUGUCUCCUCCUCAUCAGAAAAAAAAAAAUCUCACCCCAGGCUAUUUUGAAGCUCCGGCAUGUUCCUUUUCAUUCAUAUUUUUCAGUGUACUACAGGAACAUUUGCACUUCUGAAACCUCCUCGCUGAAAUGUGUGAACUGCUCUCCACCGAAAGGGAAACCUGAAUUUCCCUGCAUCAUUUCCAUUUGUCCUGUUUUGAGGUGAAGUAGUAAAGGAGAACGCCCGAGGCACUGCCAGAACCGAGCAGUGGGUGUGGAAAUCACAGCAUCAUUCAGGCUGGAAAAAACCUCCAGAAACAUCAGGACUGCUUCAGUGGGGGUUUGCAGAGGAGCAGAAAUGUGGAGAUGCUCUGGAGCCACCACAAAGAGCAGCCUGGGGAGCACCCAGGCUUGAGGGGGGACAAAACUGAGGGAGGAGAUCUGGGGGAGCUUUGGUGAGGAGACAGAAAUGAGAGGGAGGAAGGAGCUGUGACAUGCCACGAGCAAAGACCCCAGUGACCAAAGUUUUGUGGAGGCUUGGUCAGCUCCCACCAGCUCUCUGUUUUCUCCACCUAGUGCAUUCAACCCCUUUUUUUUAGUGAUAUAAAAUACAGGACUAUUUCUGUCCCAGUAACCACAGCCUCGAACGAGUAGUGCUGCGAAGAGAUUGCACAGAUUUUAAUCCAUGUAAUCAUCCUUAACCUUUCCUGCCUGGUAAAUUGCUUCAUUUCCUUUCAUUCAUGUAUCUCAAUUGAUUUCAUGUAAAUAUAUACUUUUCU
rnacentral:lncRNA from 1 species